GACGAACGCUGGCGGCGUGCUUAACACAUGCAAGUCGAACGGAAAGGCCCUGCUUUUGUGGGGUGCUCGAGUGGCGAACGGGUGAGUAACACGUGAGUAACCUGCCCUUGACUUUGGGAUAACUUCAGGAAACUGGGGCUAAUACCGGAUAGGAGCUCCUGCUGCAUGGUGGGGGUUGGAAAGUUUCGGCGGUUGGGGAUGGACUCGCGGCUUAUCAGCUUGUUGGUGGGGUAGUGGCUUACCAAGGCUUUGACGGGUAGCCGGCCUGAGAGGGUGAACGGCCACAAUGGGACUGAGAUACGGCCCAGACUCCUACGGGAGGCAGCAGUGGGGAAUAUUGCACAAUGGGCGGAAGUCUGAUGCAGCAACGCCGCGUGCGGGAUGACGGCCUUCGGGUUGUAAACCGCUUUCGCCUGUGACGAAGCGUGAGUGACGGUAAUGGGUAAAGAAGCACCGGCUAACUACGUG
rnacentral:rRNA from 1 species